UUACUUCGGUUUGAAGUUCUUUAUGACUGAGUGGCGGACGGGUGAGUAACGCGUGGGUAACCUGCCUUGUACUGGGGGAUAGCAGCUGGAAACGGCUGGUAAUACCGCAUAAGCGCACAGCUUCGCAUGAAGCAGUGUGAAAAACUCCGGUGGUACAAGAUGGACCCGCGUCUGAUUAGCUGGUUGGCAGGGCAACGGCCUACCAAGGCGACGAUCAGUAGCCGACCUGAGAGGGUGACCGGCCACAUUGGGACUGAGACACGGCCCAAACUCC
rnacentral:rRNA from 1 species